rnacentral:rRNA from 1 species
AGUGAACGCUGGCGGUAGGCCUAACACAUGCAAGUCGAACGGCAGCACAGUAAGAGCUUGCUCUUACGGGUGGCGAGUGGCGGACGGGUGAGGAAUACAUCGGAAUCUACUUUUUCGUGGGGGAUAACGUAGGGAAACUUACGCUAAUACCGCAUACGACCUACGGGUGAAAGCAGGGGAUCUUCGGACCUUGCGCGAUUGAAUGAGCCGAUGUCGGAUUAGCUAGUUGGCGGGGUAAAGGCCCACCAAGGCGACGAUCCGUAGCUGGUCUGAGAGGAUGAGCAGCCACCCCGGAACUGAGACACGGUCCAGACUCCUACGGGAGGCAGCAGUGGGGAAUAUUGGACAAUGGGCGCAAGCCUGAUCCAGCCAUACCGCGUGGGUGAAGAAGGCCUUCGGGUUGUAAAGCCCUUUUGUUGGGAAAGAAAAGCAGCAGGUUAAUACCCCGCUGUUCUGACGGUACCCAACGAAUAAGCACCGGCUAACUUCGUG